CACGUAGGGGGCGAGCGUUGUUCGGAAUUAUUGGGCGUAAAGGGCAUGUAGGCGGUUUUGUAAGCCUGGUGUGAAAUCCUGCAGCUUAACUGUAGAAUUGCAUCGGGUACUGCGAGACUUGAAUCACGGAGGGGAAACUAGAAUUCCAGGUGUAGGGGUGGAAUCUGUAGAUAUCUGGAAGAAUACCGGUGGCGAAGGCGGGUUUCUAGCCGAUGAUUGACGCUGAGGUGCGAAAGUGCGGGGAGCAAAC
rnacentral:rRNA from 1 species